CCUACGGGAGGCUGCAGUGAGGAAUAUUGGUCAAUGGACGAGAGUCUGAACCCGCCAAGUAGCGUGAAGGAUGACUGCCCUAUGGGUUGUAAACUUCUUUUAUAUGGGAAUAAAAUGUUCCACGUGUGGGAUUUUGUAUGUACCAUAUGAAUAAGGAUCGGCUAACUCCGUGCCAGCAGCCGCGGUAAUACGGAGGAUCCGAGCGUUAUCCGGAUUUAUUGGGUUUAAAGGGAGCGUAGGUGGAUUGUUAAGUCAGUUGUGAAAGUUUGCGGCUUAACCGUAAAAUUGCAGUUGAAACUGGCAGGCUUGAGUACAGUAGAGGUGGGCGGAAUUCGUGGUGUAGCGGUGAAAUGCUUAGAUAUCACGAAGAACUCCGAUUGCGAAGGCAGCUCACUGGACUGCAACUGACACUGAGGCUCGAAAGUGUGGGUAUCAAACAGGAUUAGAUACCCCAGUAGUC
rnacentral:rRNA from 1 species